CCCUUAGAUGUCCGGGGCUGCACGCGCGCUACACUGAAGGAAUCAGCGUGCUAAAACCAUUGUCGAAAGGCAUUGGUAAACCCAUUAAAAUCCUACGUGAUUGGGAUCGGGAAUUGCAAUUAUUUCCCUUGAACGAGGAAUUCCCAGUAAGUGUGGGUCAUAAGCUCGCGUUGAUUACGUCCCUGCCCUUUGUACACACCGCCCGUCGCUGCCCGGGUCUGAGCCGUUUCGAGAAAAGCGGGGACUGCUGCUGUCGGGGCUUUCGGGCCUUGGCUUCGGUGGAAACCGCUUUAAUCGCAGUGGCUUGAACCGGGCAAAAGUCGUANCA
rnacentral:rRNA from 1 species